AAAGAGCAGAUCUUUGCAAGAUGGGAAAAUGUCAUAACAGCGCAAAAGAGCAGACAAAAAGCACUAAUAAGACUAGAAAGCAAGCAAUAAGUUAAAUUGCACGUUCCAAAAUAAAUAACAGAACUUACAGACUUGAUGCAUAUGGUUUCAAACAAAUACGCUACUUAGCAUUUCUUCCUCACCAACAAACUAAAAUAUUGAUUGUACUCCAAUAAGAACUUCAAAACUUAUGAGCUAGCUGAACAUUAAUACAGGCUAGACCAAUCAACAUUCAGAAGGACAAUAAAAAGGAGACCACACAUUAUGAGCGAACCAUCAACUAUACAGGAAACUUAAAAAGAUUCUUAAAAUAAUUCACAGCAAAAACCUAUAAACAUUAAGGGGGUAGUUGGUACAAGGUUAACAAGGGGUAAU
rnacentral:misc_RNA from 1 species